rfam:Triticum aestivum genome assembly, contig: Triticum_aestivum_CS42_TGACv1_scaffold_032972_1BL
UUUAUACUCCCUCCGUCCGAAAAUACUUGUCAUCAAAAUGAAUAAAAGAGGAUGUAUCUAGAUGUAUUUUAGUUUUAGAUACAUCCUUUUUUGUUCAUUUUGAUGACAAGUAUUUUCGGCUAGAUACAUCCUUUUUUGUUCAUUUUGAUGACAAGUAUUUUCGGACGGAGGGAGUAUUGG